ACAAAUUUAUAGGGAAGUGGGAAAAAGAAACAGAAAAUUAGGUAUAAGUUUCCAAAAUGGCACAUGGGUACUUUCUUGGGUAGUGUGAAUUAUCGAACAUUUCUUGAUUAAUACUAUACAUUUUUUCUUUCACCAAAACUAAACAACAAAAUGAAUCUUAAUGGCUUAUUUAAUCUUCGGUAGCAACAUUUUCCACACAAAUCGUUUCAACUACAAAAAAAAAUAUUCUCUGAAGUAAAACAAAAGGCAAAUCCGAGGAUCAAUCUUGAAGUUUUCUCGUCUUUUCUUGCAUCGUGUGAAACUUCUUGGUUCAUCAAUGGGUUCUGUAAUGAGCUUGAGCUGUUCGAAAAGGAAAGCUACGAGUCAGGAUGUGGAAUCCGAAUCUGUUAAAAGACGAAAGAUAUGCUCAACCAACGAUGAUGAGAAUUCCAGUUCGAUUCCAAGUCCUCCGGAUGACUCAUCUUGGAGUUUAUGUGCCAAUAGAGUCGUCAACGUCACAACUGCUGUUUUUACGAAAUUCAGAUUCCAACAAGAAGACAACAUAAAUACUAAAUCUUCUGCUUUACCGCUUCGAUCUCCUCCAACUACUUUGUCUCAAAACUGUAAACACCAUGUCUUCCCAAGCUUCCACGGACCAGAUGUCCGAAGAACCUUUCUUAGUCACAUCCUUGCAGUGUUCAGGGGAAAGGGUAUCAGCCCAUUCAUUGAUAAUCAUAUACCGAGGAGCAAGUCGAUCGGUCCUGAGCUCAAAGAUGCUAUUAGAGGAUCAAAGAUCGCUAUCGUCUUGCUUUCCAAGAACUAUGCUUCUUCUUCCUGGUGUCUUGAUGAGUUGGCAGAGAUCAUGAACUGCAGGGAAGUGUCGGGUCAGAUUGUCAUGACCAUUUUCUAUGAAGUGGAUCCAACUGACAUAAAGAAACAGACCGGUGAUUUUGGGAAAGCCUUCAGAAAAAGUUGUAAAGGUAAAACAAAUGAGCAUACUGAGAGAUGGAGAAAAGCGUUGGAGGAUGUGGCUACCAUUGCCGGAUAUCAUUCUCACAGAUGGGUCAAUGAAGCGGCCAUGAUCGAAAAAAUAGCCGCUGAUGUUUCAAACAUGUUGAAUAGCUCCACACCAUCAAGAGAUUUCGAUGGUCUAGUAGGGAUGAGAGCUCAUAUGGAAAAGUUGAAACUGUUGUUAAGCCUAGAUUUGGAUGAAGUAAGGAUGAUCGGGAUUUGGGGGCCGCCUGGGAUUGGUAAGACAACCAUCGCAAGAGUUGUGUUUAACCAAGUCUCCAACAGAUUCCAACUUGCCGCAAUCAUGGUUAAUAUCAAAGGAUGCUAUCCAAGACCUUGUUUGGAUGAGUAUAGUGCACAAUUGCAGCUACAAAGCCAAAUGUUGUCUCAGAUUAUCAAUCAGAAAGAUCUUAUGAUUUCUCAUUUAGGAGUGGCACAAGAACGAUUGAAAGACAAGAAAGUGUUUGUUGUUCUUGAUGAAGUGGAUCAAUUGGGACAACUAGAUGCCUUGGCAAAAGAAACUCAAUGGUUUGGUCCUGGAAGUCGGAUUAUAAUCACAACAGAAGAUCUAAGAGUUUUGAAUGCUCAUGGGAUCAACCAUAUUUACAAAGUAGAUUUUCCAUCAAGUGAUAAGGCUUUCAAAAUCUUCUGUAUGUAUGCUUUUGGAAAAAAGUAUCCAGAUGAUGGUUUCGCUGAGCUUGCUUGGGAAGUUACGAAUCUUGCUGGUAAACUCCCUUUGGGAUUGAAGGUGCUAGGCUCCGCUUUGAAAGGAAUGUCCAAGCAGGAGUGGAAAAGGAUACUACCAAUGUUACAAACCAGCCUUAAUGGAGAAAUAGGGAGCAUUAUAAAGUUCAGCUAUGAUGCCUUAUGUGAUGAAUAUAAAGAUAUAUUUCUUUAUGUAGCCUGCUUUUUCAAUGGCAUAUUCAAUGGCAUAGUUGCUCAUAACCUGGAAAAGUUUCUUUCAAAGAAGUUGUCACAUGUGACGCAUGCUGGUAUUCAUGUCUUAGCUGAGAAAUCUCUCAUAUCUAUUGACCAAUUCGGAUACAUAAAGAUGCAUACUCUGCUUGAGCAAUUCGGAAGAGAAACUUCUCGUAAGGAAUUCCUUCAUAAUCGGCUUCUGAAAUGUCAGCUUUUGGUUGAUGGAAGAGAUAUUUGUGAAGUGCUCGGUAAUGAUACAAGAGAUAAUAGAUGUUUUAUAGGGAUUUAUUUUAAGUUAUCUGAGAUUGAGGAAGAAUUGAAUAUAAGUGAGAAAGCACUUGAAAGAAUGUCUGAUCUCGAAAUCGUAAUAAUCGAGGGUGAGGAGGAUCUUGCUCAGCCUGAGAGACUGAACUCACUGCUAUGUCAUUCACAAAAGAUUAGAUUACUGUAUUGGAGUUAUUUCCAGAAUAUAUGUUUGCCUUCUACUUUUAAUCCCGAGUUUCUUGUUGCACUAACUAUGCAUUCCAGCAAGCUCCUAAAGCUAUGGGAUGGAGUAAAACAACUUAAAAAUCUCAGGUGGAUGGAUUUGAGUGAUUCUAAAGAUCUGAAAGAGCUUCCCGAUCUUUCAACUGCCACUAAUCUUGAAAACUUAAAUCUCGGUUCUUGCUCAAGUUUAGUGGAGUUUCCCUCUAUUGGGAAUGCAACUAAACUUAAGAAAUUGAAUCUUUCUAAUUGCUCAAGUUUAGUGGAGGUUCCUUCUUCUUCUAUUGAGAAUUUGACCAAUCUCCGGGAAUUAGAUCUAUCUGGUUAUUCAAAUCUUGUGGAGUUUCCCUCUAUUGGGAAUGCAACUAAACUUGAGAUAUUGAAUCUUUCUAACUGCUCAAGUUUAGUGGAGGCUCCUUCUUCUAUUGAGAAUUUGACCAAUCUCCGGGAAUUAGAUCUAUCUGGUUACUCAAAUCUUGUGGAGCUUCCCUCUAUUGGGAAUGCAACUAAACUUGAGAAACUGAAUCUUCGUGAUUGCUCAAGGCUUGAGAAAUUCUCCUCUUCUAUCAAUGCCACGAAUCUCCGGGAAUUGUGUCUAACGAAUUGUUCACGUGUCAUGGAGCUCCCAUCUAUGGAGAAUGCGACUAAUCUCCGGUUAUUGGAUCUCCACAAUUGCUCAAGUCUACUAGAGCUCCCUCCUUCUAUUGGAUCUGCCACAAAUCUGAAGCAAUUGAUAAUGAGCAGAUGCUCAAGUAUCGUGAAUCUCCCAACCUCUAUUGGAGAUUGCACUAAUCUCGAUCAUUUUGAGCUAGAUAACUGCUCAAAUCUGGUGGAGCUUCCUUCCUCUAUAGGCAAACUUCAGCGAUUGUCUACGUUGACAAUGUGUGGGUGCUCAAAGCUAGAGGCUCUUCCAACCAACAUUAACUUGAAAUCUCUCCGUAUACUUGAUCUCACAGAUUGCUUGCAGUUGAAAAGUUUUCCUGAGAUCUCCACAAGCCUUGUGAGUCUCAGGCUCACAGGAACAGCAAUAAAAGAAGUUCCUUUGUCGAUCAUGUCGUGGUCUCGUCUUUUUGUCUUUCGUAUGUCAUAUUUUGAAAGCCUCAGGGAAUUCCCGCAUGCUCUUGAAAUCAUCACGGAGCUGCAUUUGGUAAACGAAGAUAUACAAGAAGUUCCUCCAUGGGUCAAGGGAAUGUCUUGUUUAGAGACGCUUAUACUCAAGAACUGCAAUAAUCUGGUAUCACUCCCACAACUUCAAUAUUUCCUAUUAAGCAUAGUUGCAGACAACUGUCAGUCCCUUGAGAGAUUGGACUGUUCUUUUAACAAUCUGAAGUUCACCAACUGCUUCAAACUGAAGCAAGAAGCCAGAGAUCUCAUCAUGCACACAUCGACUUCUGGAUAUGCGAUUUUACCGGGUACACAAGUGCCUGCCUGCUUCAAUCACCGAGCUACUGCUGGAGGUUUAUUGACAAUCAAGUUGAAUGAGUUGUCUUUUCCUACAUUUUUGAGAUUUAAGGCUUGUGUCAUGCUCGUUAAGGAAGAAACGGAUGCUGAUCAUGGUUACAUGUUUCUAUAUACUAACAUCAAGGACAAACAGAAUGAUCUCAAGGUUCGGUGUACACGAGGCAGCCGUCUAAUAGAUCCACUUUUAACAGAGCAUAUCUACAUAUUUGAAGUUGAAGCAGAGGAGACGGUGAUUUCCACCGAGCUUGUCUUUGAGUUCACAACAGACAGUAGAAAGUGGAAGAUCGGAGGAUGCGGGGUAUAUCAAAUCUUGAAGGUUAGUGUUAAUGAAGAUGAUGAGAGCUUUAGAGAUGGGCAUCGAUGGAGGAGGGUUAAAAAAAUUUAUGCCAUUUUCCUCUUCUUUAAAAUUUUAUAUAAGAUUGUGUAACGAUUAUGUUUACAAACAGAGACAGCGAAAAUAGAGACGAGAAGGAGAAGAAGGAAGAAUCAAUUAAAGUCAUGAGUGAGUACAAAUCCAAUACUGGGAAGCUGUAGAGACAUUGGAAUUCGUGUUUGAUAUGAACAAUUAGUGAAUGAUGAUGUUUUUGGGAUUUUGGUUUUAGGGUUUUGGUCCGAGUGAAGAGCUGUUGAUUCUUUGAAACUCAUGUUUCCGAAUCAGUUUUCAUUUGUGAGAACUGCUUCAACAUUACACAGGAAUUGUGUGGUUUGAUUAGUAUCUCUGACAAACGAUUUUGUAAAUUUGAGAUGUGCUGCUUAGUCGUCGUUGGAGAGAUUUUGAACAACUCUUUCACAUCUUUGCUUACUCACUCGUGUUCAAGAGAUGGGAAAGGAGCCUUCUUUGGAUGAAGAACCAAUUAAAGAGGCUCUAUGUAUCCCUUGUGAGGAAAUUGAACAUGCUGGCGGGUAGAUAAAGCCACAACUGCUUAAGGCAUUUCCACUUCACUGGGCUUAGUCGCCGGCCGCAACAAACUAGGCCUAAACCCUCCUUCUAGCAACUUCCCCACUU